AUAAUGCAGGGGCCACUGAAAACCCUGUGUCCAAAGUGAGGUCCGGAGCAUGUUAAAGUGUUUUUCGGUAGAGUUUAGUGUCCUGAUGAAGAAAAGUUAGGGUGCCAGGCUGAACGAAAAGUGUGAAAAAAUACC